GAUGAACGCUGGCGGCGUGCUUAACACAUGCAAGUCGAACGAAGCACUUAUCUUUGAUUCUUCGGAUGAAGAGGUUUGUGACUGAGUGGCGGACGGGUGAGUAACGCGUGGGUAACCUGCCUCAUACAGGGGGAUAACAGUUAGAAAUGACUGCUAAUACCGCAUAAGACCACGGAGCCGCAUGGCUCAGUGGGAAAAACUCCGGUGGUAUGAGAUGGACCCGCGUCUGAUUAGGUAGUUGGUGGGGUAACGGCCUACCAAGCCAACGAUCAGUAGCCGACCUGAGAGGGUGACCGGCCACAUUGGGACUGAGACACGGCCCAAACUCCUACGGGAGGCAGCAGUGGGGAAUAUUGCACAAUGGGGGAAACCCUGAUGCAGCGACGCCGCGUGAGCGAAGAAGUAUUUCGGUAUGUAAAGCUCUAUCAGCAGGGAAGAA
rnacentral:rRNA from 1 species